UCCCUAUUUUCUGGUUAAUUCAUUUUUUUUUGUCAGACCUAUUUUCUCUCUCUCUGUCAGGUUGGUGACACUCUGACAAGCCUGAAAAACCCCCCCUUCUUAGCAAAGAAAGAAACUUGAAAAACCCCUUAAAGCGUUUACCUUAGUUCCAGAGAACCUCCAAAACCCUAGAAUUCAAAUCGACGAGACCGAAGUCCAUGUUUUCUUGGCGACGCCGAUUUUAGCACCAGAAAUUCACAGAAUGGGUCGGCCCGAGCCUUGUGUAUUGUUCGCCCAAACCUUCGUUCACCCCCAUCUCGACGAAUACGUCGACGAGGUAUUGUUUGCUGAGCCCAUCGUCAUCACUGCUUGC